rnacentral:rRNA from 1 species
GCUCCGGCCGCCAUGGCGGCCGCGGGAAUUCGAUUCAUCGACACUUUGAACGCAAAUGGCGCUCUUGGGUUCUCCCAGGAGCAUGUCUGUCUGAGUGUCGGU